AGCUGCGCGUCGAGUACAUAGCGAACUAUUCUUUCGCCUUUUACUAAAGAAUACCAUGUGCUCGUUGCUUAAAAGCAGCAUAUGAUAUUUUUUGGAAGGUGUUUUCUUUUAAAGAAAAC